UGAAAAAUAAACCUGUUUAUGUGUUUAGAUUUGAUAUUAUCUUCAUGUAUAUGACAAUAUAAAAUUAAUUACCUUAGUAACAUGUGGAUAACAAAAUAUCAUUUACUUUACAUAUUCUAAAAAUAGAUUUCGAAUUUAUAUAAAUAUAAACAACGUGUUGUUAGUGACAUUAUAUUUUAAUACGGUUGACAAAAAGACGAAAAUGAACGCCUAACAGAAAUAGAAAUAAGCCGAUUGUUCGAAAGAACUAAAAUGAACUGAUAUUGCAAAAAGAUAUACAUGUACGUGUUUGUAAGUGGAGUUACAAAUGCACCAGAAAAUGCUGACAUGAAGCAUUACUAAUUAAACCUGUCCAAAUGUGGAGGAUUAUCUAAAAUAUGACCAUCAGAUAGUAAAUGGAUAGCAGACUAACCAAAUGGUUAGUUUGAGAAUGUAUCCUGAUAUACAACCUUGACAAACGUAGGUCGUGGAUGCCGGCUGACCUUCCAGGGUUGGCCACAAAUAUGCCGCUACCAUGGCUCGACACGCUAAAUCCGGGAUGUUGGCCGCUGGCCUCAUCUCCGGAGUUACUGCUUUUAUCAUCUAUCAGCCUCAUCUUCGCAGAUCUCUCCGUCGUUUAACUAUGUGGCUGAUGGAAACUUCAAUGAAGCCCGUAGAACAAAACGUGGAAGAAAACAUCACUUCAUCACCAACUGAUUUACAAUAUCGAAAGCAAAACGUAAACGAAAACUUCACUUCAUCACAAACUCCUUUACCAUAUCUAAACAAGUCUUCUACACAUAUUUCCCAAAGCUCUGACAGUAACAGUGAAACAGAUGAAUCAACAACAUCAAGUGAUGAAGAGGAAGUCCCAUCUAAUAAAUUAAGUCAAAACUCCUCGGUCUUUCCGGAUGAUUUACCAGAUGAAGGAAAGCAACUUCUGCAAAGUCUGGAAAACUAUAGUAUUUUUACUGAGACUGUAAAUUAUAAACCUAAACUAGACCGUAACAAUACUGAUCAAACUGUGUAUUGCAAGAACUUGUUUCUAAAAGAUAGAAAAGGCAAAUUCUACUUCUUCAUUUGUCGAGAGGAAAACAACGUGCUUCUUCGGCAACUUAAAUACAAACUUAAAGCACACAGGAACUUUUCUUUUGCAUCACAAAUCGAAGUUGAGGAAAACUUGCAUAUUCUGCCCGGUUGUAUAACACCAUUUGUAUUUUUAUCUGACACAGUCUCCAGAGAUAUUCCCGUGGCAAUUGCACGUGACUUGAUUCUUGAGAAACGUCUGAACUUUCAUCCCUUACAUGCUGACUUCGCAACUAGAAUUUCUUUUGGACAUCUGUUAAAACUUUUUGGCCAUCUUAAAAGAAAAUUGAUAAUCAUAGACGUCUGAAUUAAAAAAAAAUCUUGUAAAA